rnacentral:ncRNA from 2 species
CGAAAUUAAGGGAAUGGGACUUCCCUGUUAUAAACCGCUAAUAAAGUAGCUGAUAGUUCCUGCUUAACU